rnacentral:rRNA from 1 species
GACUGGUGAGUAACGCGUGAGGAACCUGCCUUCCAGAGGGGGACAACAGUUGGAAACGACUGCUAAUACCGCAUGACAUAUCGAAAUCGCAUGGUUUUGAUAUCAAAGAUUUAUCGCUGGAAGAUGGCCUCGCGUCUGAUUAGCUAGUAGGCGGGGUAACAGCCCACCUAGGCGACGAUCAGUAGCCGGACUGAGAGGUUGACCGGCCACAUUGGGACUGAGAUACGGCCCAGACUCCUACGGGAGGCAGCAGUGGGGAAUAUUGGGCAAUGGGCGCAAGCCUGACCCAGCAACGCCGCGUGAAGGAAGAAGGCUUUCGGGUUGUAAACUUCUUUUAAGAGGGAAGAGAAGAAGACGGUACCUCUUGAAUAAGCCACGGCUAACUACGUGCCAGCAGCCGCGGUAAUACGUAGGUGGCAAGCGUUGUCCGGAUUUACUGGGUGUAAAGGGCGUGCAGCCGGGCUGACAAGUCAGAUGUGAAAUCCCGCGGCUCAACCGCGGAACUGCAUUUGAAACUGUCAGUCUUGAGUACCGGAGAGGUCAUCGGAANUNCCUUGUGUAGCGGUGAAAUGCGUAGAUAUAAGGAAGAACACCAGANGCGAANGCGGCUAACUGGGACUGCAACUGACGCUGANGCACGAAAGUGUGGGGAGCAAACAGGANUAGAUACCCUGGUAGU